UGAAUUUAAACAUAUUAUUAAGUAGUGGAAAAAGAAAGUAACAACGAUUUCUUGAGUAACGGCGAGUGAAAAAGGAAAGAGUGCAAGAUUGAAAUCAAAAUAGGAUGAAUAUUUUGAAUUGUAGUUUCAAUUAUUUUCAGAUGAAAAUUUCUUGUGGUGAGUGUUUUAAAUUUGAUGGAGUAAAAUCUAUUGGAAAAUAAUAUGAAACAAGGUGAUAAUCCUGUCUAAAACACACAGCAAGAAAUGAAAAUCGGAAAUAACAAGAGUCGGACUAUUUGGGAGUAUAGUCUAAAGCAUAAGGUAAGUCCCUUAUAACACUAAAUAUCAAUGGGAGACCGAUAGUGAACAAGUAGUGUGAACGAAAGAAGAAAAGCACUUUGAAAAGAGAGUGAAAUAGUACCUGAAAUUGUUAAAAGGGAAGGAAUAAAUUAAAGUAAAUAA
rnacentral:rRNA from 1 species